AUGAUGAAUUGCAGAAUUCAGUGAAUCAUCGAAUCUUUGAACGCACCUUGGCACCCUUUGGCAUGUCCGAAGGGUAUGCUCGUUUGAGUGUCAUU
rnacentral:rRNA from 1 species